AGAAAGGAAUUUUGAAGACAGAGUAGCACAACGUGUCAAAUUGUAUUAAAGGCAUUUAGCUUAUUAAGGGGCCCCCUGGCGGUGGGACCAAUGGACCUUUGUGCAAUAAAAAAGAGAUCUUCUUUCAUGCAAAGCCAAAUUAAACAUACCGCCAACCAAACUGUGAAAUCCAGCAAUUCAAAAGCAUUUCCAGCGCGAUAGUGCAGCCCACAGUCGGGGAAAAAAAGUUUGUUCGCAGAUAGGCUCCUCGAGCCUGAAAGCCCGCGUGACGUAGCAGCUCCUCUUUUUUUUUUUUUUUUUUUUGUAGCCCGACUGUCUUCAUUAAGUAGAAAUGUAGGCUUUUUACAACACACCGACGCCUUUGCGUUUCAGGCUCAGUUGCCGCUGCCUCCCCGGCGUCCGCGGCGCGCGCUCGCUCGCCACCAUUUAUAGCCGCGCGGCGGCAACAAUCUUGUUAUGAGAUUUAAACUUUGCCUCCGCCAGGAUCAACAUGCGCUCGGCGCGCGCGUCCCCCCCUCGCGCUUCUUCCCGUCUCGCGCGCUCUCCGCGGCGAUAGCGGCGCUGACAUCUUACCUACAGUGCCCGCCUUGUUUGAGUGCGCUCUUAAACGCCGGUGUCAGCUCUCGGCGUAAUAGAAAAAGCCGAGCGGGUCUGUGCGCGUAAAGGCGAGCGAUGAGAGGAGCUCAGCCCCGAAUUAAAUCACUCACAGCUAAAUGGAUCUUUGAGACCGUCCCUUGACGCAGUGAGCCGCUGCUCUGUGCAUCUCCAGACCGACAACAGACAGCUGGGAUUCUUUUAUUUUUUUAUUUUUGUUUUGCGCUACCCAACGCAAUCCUGCCCAGACUCUUGAAUAUGCUCCGUGUUGGCGGCGGCACAUAUUAAGCUGCCGGCUUUGCGUCGGGAAGAGGCUGCCGCUCCGCUGUCGUCACGCAGUUCAAGGAGAUACGUCCGCGAACAUCUGUCCCAGCUGCAGGACGCCAGGGAUGCUCCCUCACUCCGAGGCCCUCGCCCCGGGUUACAGAGGUGAGUGCGGGCGGGAGCAGACGCCCCCUAAGAGGAUCACAGAGAAUCCAUCACUAAUCCACAGGUCAAUACAUAUGACAGGUACAGUGCCAAAGACGAGUCACUCAAAGGACACGUCAUCAUCCCGGGAGCGGACGGCUUCGAUGUGACCGGGGGGCGUCCGUGCUGCGUUCAGGUUCCCUGUCUCAACCUGGGAUUUAAACUAAACUGUAGGCAUUAGGGGAUUUUCCCAGACAGAAUGAAGUCUCAUAGGAGAUAGUUGACUCCAAUAUCUAUGUAAUCUCAGUGAGGAGCACGUCCUGCUCCCGCCUUUCUACUGUUCCAUUACUGGCGGGGCCAUGACACGGCCUGAUGGCCGUACAGCGGACGUGCACACUGAACAAUUCAUGCUAAUUAAUAGACCCCUCACAACAGAGCUGCGUCCUUAGAGCCUGAGUCAUCACUGACUCACCCUCACGCAACAUAUUUUCAUAAUCUCCUACAGUAGAACCACUGACUCACUGUAGUGUGAUGUAAAGCCGAGCCCCGCGGCCUCAUUAAGGCGCCGGUCAUGAGCUUAGGUUCACCUCCUGCUGUUUGUUUUACUGGAUGAAAGAUGGACAGCGGGUAGUAAUAAUAAAACCCAUAAAACCCCUCA
ensembl:lncRNA